AUGCUUGCUUCGGCAGCACAUAUACUAAAACUGGAACGGUACAGAGAAGAUUAGCAUGGCCUCUGCGCAAGGAUGACACACAAAUUUGUGAAGUGUUCCAUAUUUUU
rnacentral:snRNA from 1 species